CCUACGGGGGGCUGCAGUGGGGAAUAUUGGACAAUGGGGGGAACCCUGAUCCAGCCAUGCCGCGUGUGUGAAGAAGGCCCUCGGGUGGUAAAGCACUUUCAGUGAGGAAGAACGCCUGGUGGUUAAUACCCAUCAGGAAAGACAUCACUCACAGAAGAAGCACCGGCUAACUCCGUGCCAGCAGCCGCGGUAAUACGGAGGGUGCGAGCGUUAAUCGGAAUUACUGGGCGUAAAGCGCGCGUAGGUGGCUUGAUAAGCCGGUUGUGAAAGCCCCGGGCUCAACCUGGGAACGGCAUCCGGAACUGCCAAGCUAGAGUGCAGGAGAGGAAGGUAGAAUUCCCGGUGUAGCGGUGAAAUGCGUAGAGAUCGGGAGGAAUACCAGUGGCGAAGGCGGCCUUCUGGACUGACACUGACACUGAGGUGCGAAAGCGUGGGUAGCAAACAGGAUUAGAUACCCCUGUAGUC
rnacentral:rRNA from 1 species